rnacentral:lncRNA from 1 species
CAAAAGUUUCUUUUCUCCGUCAGCCAGCGCUGCUGGGUGGUUGCCAUGAAAACGGAUUCUCUCCCCCCCUCCCCGCACUCCCCCGCGCCAAAAAGAGAAAUUGAGAGUGUGUGCGCGCGGGGGGGGCGCCCCUCCCCCAAGCAGCCGAGUGGAAAAACUGAAUUGGGGAGAUACAUUCAGAAAGCGGUAUAAGGCCGUCAAUCAAAUGGCCCGCAGAGAAAGGCUACAGCGGAUAGGGCCGGAGAGCUUGGUGAGCUGGCAGCAGUUGGAGAAGAGAGCCGUCCGAAGAAAGAGCAGAUCCGAAGAGGGGCUCGUUCCGCUGCCGGAGAACCAAGCUGGCGC